GGUAUAGCUAUGAAUGCCAAAAUAUAUUAAAAUUAUAAUGAUACUGAGAAGAUUAGCAUGGCCCCUGCACAAGGAUGACAUGAAAAUUCAUGAAGUGUUCCAUAUUUUU
rnacentral:snRNA from 1 species